GGAUUUUGAAGCUAAAAAGUACCUAUUGAAUAUAAAUAAAAGAAAAUUACUCACUCUAAAAUCUAUGAGCUUAGUCAAAGGGGUUUGAGUUUAAACCCCCCGCCAGGGGGGUUUGAGGAUAAAAAAUACAUUUUCAGUGUAAAAGAAAAAGCAAAUUAUGCACUCAAAAUGCUAUGAGCGUUGCCGAAAGGGGUUUUGAGUUUAAACCCCCAUUCAGAUGGGUUUGGUGCUAAAAAUACAUCUUCAAUUUAAAAAAAAGCAAAUUACACACUAAAAUUAUUUGAGCGUAGCCAAGCCAAUCGGGGGUUUUGAGUUUAAACCCUUCUUCUACAGAUGGCUUUUUUUUUUAAGUUUAAAACCCCUUCAGAUGGUUUUGAGUUUAAGAUCCCCCUACAGAGCAUUUUGAGGUGGAAAACCCCCAAUAGAAGAUUUUGACGAUAAAACUUCUCUUUUCGAUUUAAAAUCUAAAGCAAACUACAGUCACUUAAUUCCAAGAGCAUAUUCAAGAGAGGUUACACAUUUUUACCAGUAGCAGGGCUCCAUUAAUAAACUGCAGUGAAUAAUCAUCUACCGAAAUCGAAAAAACACUAAAUGUGGCUCAACAAAGAUGGCUAAGACAGAUUUUAGGAGUCAGUUAUAGAGAUCGGGUCUAAAUCAAGGAAAUCCUAUGCCGAACUGGGAGUCGACCCUUAGAUUGUGAGAGAACGACGCAUGAGGUUUGCAGGACAUGUUCUCCGACAAAAUGAAUUACGCAUAAGAAGAGUUGCAAUGAUAUCCUAGUACAACUUGACGCCACUCAUUCAUGGAGGUCCUCAUGGUAGGUGGGAAGAGGCUUCAGACAUUGCCAGUGACAGAUUUUUAUGGAAACAGAUUGACGUCAAAUGCUCCGAACGGCGUGGGAGGGUCUAAGUCAGUAAGAAUAGCACAUUAGGUUUUUGAAAUAGAACUUUUUAAUAGCAGGAAAAUGCACUGUAGAUACCUCAGAAUAUGCAUUUUGUUGGCUUUCA